AAUGGCCAGCCCGGGGGGAGCAGAGCCAACCAGGACCUGGAGCUCAGCCACCUUAACGUGCCUCCUGGAUCGAGAACAACCAGAAGAGCCUCUGCAGUGCAGCCACAGAGAACCCGAGGAAAACCCAUCAGGAAAUUUCUCCUACCUUGUCUCAUGCUCCUGCUGGAAAACAACCUGCGACCUCCAUUGUCCGACCUGGCCCAGCUACCUGAACUUUUGACUGGCACAUUCAGUUUUCACAUUUAUCUUUACUCAUAAUAACAUUAACCGUCGCCUCAAAUCAAGCUAAAGUAUGUUCUGUUAUGGGUUGAGCAUGAGGAAGAGCUUCGGCAGAGCAACUUGUGAAAUAACUGUCAGGUGUUAGUUCACAGUGUAGAUCGUAAGGCAGUGUUUUCCUGCAGCUGCAACAUCUCAAUUCAUCACAUGAUUGACUAAAAUCAGCUGGAUAAUGAUUUUCAACGUUCCUAAUUUAUUGCAAAAGACAGAGCACAAUUAUAAUUUCUACAGGACUUAAUUAUAUCUGACAUACUGCUCUGAGCUUGGUCGAACAGAAACUAACCACUUCCUUUUCUCUGUGCCUCCUCCACAGACACUGAUAACGGCUGUGAAGCUCUAGUCUGUCUCUCUCUCGGCUUAAUGAUCGCGAUGUUCCACUUGAACCAAGCUGCUCUGCUCUCUGUUCAUCUCGUAAUUAUGUGUCCUGUCCUCACAGCGAUUUUUGAGUUUUUUCCAGGUGACCACAGAGAUAUCCUGGUGUCCAGCGGAGACUCUCUCACGUUCACUUGCAACGUAUCCACAAACGGAACAAUACAAAUCAACUGGACCAAAGACAAAUUUCUUUUUGCUCACUCUGUGAUAUACAAUACGACUUUUUCAAAUUUCACCUCUGACAGAGUGAGAAUAGACAUUGACUUUCCUUCAAAGCUGAACAUUUCGAACGCUCAGCAUGAAGACUCAGGACUAUAUCAAUGUACUGUGACUGACAAAAAAGGUCCACACAGUAACAAGUGGAAUUUAACCGUGGCUGGGACACCUCCAGAAGUCCGGUCGUGGUAUUUUCUUUACACAAUUCUACUUGGAGUUGUGUUGCUCCUCUUUGGCAUCACUGCAGCUGUUUGCCUCCACAGAAAACUGAGGACCAGGACAUCAAAUCAGGACCUGGCCCAGAGCCAGCUUCAUCUGCAGUCAGGAGGAGAGGUGGUCAUCCCUCAAGUUCAGGCGGGCCCAGAGAGAAGAACAAAUAACAAGCACAGGAGUCAGUACCAGGAAAGGCUCAACUCAAUCUAUGGUCUCUAGUGAGUUAACGGGAAAUUCAACAGAAACACGACAGAGUAAUUUCAACUUCAAACCAGAUGCCACAAGUGAGGACUGCUGGUGUGCGUCAUCAACACAAUGAAACCAGUGCAUUAACUUUGAUGGUAGAUUCUGUAUUUCACUCUUUGUAUUGUAAUGUUUUUAUAUAUGAUGGUUUACUGCACUCUGAGGUCUCUGAGGAAAGUGGCUUACAGAGUUUGUUGUUCAUGGCAAUAAAGUUAAGGACACUCAAAAGGCUUUGACUGACAGUCGGUGGCCUCUAGUGUCUAGAAAAGGAAUUGAAUGUGGUUGUUUCUAUCAAACUAUUUUAUGAUCCAAAGACCAACCAGGUCAAGUUUGAGUCAUGUUUUUAUCUUCAUUCUAUUCAUUUAAUGCAGAUUUAUUGUCUAAUUAUGCAGGCAAGGUAAAAUAAUAAUAAUGAUAAUAAUAAUAAUGAUAAUAAUAAUAAUAAUAAUAAUAAUAAUAAUAAUAAUGAUUACUUUAUUUGUAUAGCGCUUUUCAAAACAGCCAUUACUUAGUGCUUCACAUAGAGGGUAAAUAAAAACAAGAAAGAAAAAAACCAAGCAACAAUUGGCAAAAUAAUUAAAUUAUUUAAAAUCAGAGAUCACAAUUUAUGUAAUAUAAACAAAUAAAAUGCUACAACAUCAUUGAAAAUCAUCGGCAACAAAAUGGAUAAAAGAAACAUAAUGAUAAAUACAAAUUCUCAAGUAAGAGCCAUUUAGUAAAAGUUACUUUUAAGAGACGGUUCAGGGCAGGGGCAACCUUUACUAUCAAAAGAGGCAUUUUGCCCUCUCUUCCACCAAAUAAAACUUGUCUGGAGCCACAAAACAUAUUUGAUAACACAUCCUAUCAAGUUAUAUUUAUACAUAAUUAUACUCAGCGUUGUGCCAGUUCACACCUACAAUGAACUAUUUUAUUAUGUCCAUACAGAUGAAAACUAACUUAUUUGCAUUCACUCGUUGUUUUUUGAAAGCUUUUUCAAUGUAGGAUUGUUUUUUAAUGCCAUUUUUAAAAGCAAUUUAGAUUUGCUUUGUUUCCAAAUCGAUGGUGUCGGGUCAUGUGUGCGUGUCGCUCCGGUCACUUUAACACCGAGUCCUUACUGAGCCUAACGUCUCGUGUUGUACUGAGCACAAACUGUUGACGAGUCAUUUUCAGGAUGUUUAAAUGCAGUCUCAUAACGCUCAGAACAAACCAGCUGCAGCUUCUGCUCUGAUCUUUGAGCAGCAGUGCUGAUCUAUGAGCAGCUGAGACCAGAGGAACUCAGUUUUUACGGAUUCCACUGUUCUUCUGAAAAGUCACUGAACGUCUGCUACACGUGAACGAGCUCUGAUCUCAGUGUGUCUCUCUGAGCGACUGAUUAGUUCAUUUCGUCGUUCACGAAAAAUAUAAUGCCUUAAAUGAACAUCUCUUAUUGAAUGCGUUCAUACACAACACUGCACAGGGAGCCACUGCAGAGGGGCUGAGGAGCCGCGGGGUGCCGACCCCUGGAUUAGACAAAUGUCACCAGUGGAGGUUUAAGGACCCUCGUACAGAGAAAGGUUAUUUUAACUUAACAGAUCAAGUUAAGGUAAUAGUGUUCAAUUGUCCUGUGAUAAAAACAGUUAUCUUUCUUCUCAAGAGCAUCAUACGGUGUUUGUCACACUGUGAAACCACACUCAGCAGGAGGGUCACACUCUGUAGGCAUCUUGCACAUAUGUGGUUUUCCUGCCGUUGAGAAGGUCAGUGACAUACAUUUUAUAUUUUAGUUUGUGUUAUUUAUACCCAUGAUUUUCAUCGUAAUUUUAGCGUCAAGAGGGAUGGAGCUUGAAUUCUCAGUGAUCUCAUUUGAAGUAAAUCAUCAUAUUUGUGGUUUCAUUCACAUUCACCGGGCAUACUUUAGUUUCAGGUUUCGACAAAGAGCAACUAACCACUUCCUUCCUUUCAUCUGUGCCUCCUCCACCAACACUGAUAAAGUCUGUGAAGCUCCAGUCUUUCCUCUCUCUGUCUAAUGGCCGCCAUGUUCCACUUGAACCAAGCUGCUCUGCUCGCUGUUCAUCUCGUAGUUAUGUGUCCCGUCCUCGCAGAGUUUUUUCCAGAUGACCACAAAUAUAUCCUGGUGUCCAGCGGAGACUCUGUCACGUUCACUUGCAACGUACCCACAAACAGAACAAUACAAAUCAACUGGACCAAAGACAAAUUUCUUUUUGCUCACUCUGUGAUAUUCAAUAAGACUUUUUCAAAUUUCACCUCUGACAGAGUGAGAAUAGACGUUGACUUUCCUUCAAAGCUGAACAUUUCGAACGCUCAGCAUGAAGACUCAGGACUAUAUCAAUGUAAUGUGACUGACAAUAAAGGUCGAUACAGUAACAAGUGGAAUUUAACCGUGGCUGGGACACCUCCAGAAGUCCUGUCAUGGUAUUUUCUUUACACAAUUCUACCUGGAGUUGUGUUGCUCCUCUUUGGCCUCACUGCAGCUGUUUGCCUCCACAGAAUACGCAGGGCCGGGACCUCAAACAAGAAACGCGGUGACCACAGGACUCUGACUUGUGCAGAAUACAGACUCAUUACAAGCGGUGGUAAAUAUGAAGCGAUGGACUCAGUUCAAUGGCCUCUACUUGACUGACAGAGCAUCAUACGGUGUUUGUCACACUGUGAAACCACACUCAGCAGGCGGAUCACACUCUAUAAGCAUCUUGCACAUAUGUGGUUUUCCUGCCGUUGAGAAGGUCAGUGACAUACAUUUUAUAUUUUAGUUUGUGAUAUUUAUACCCAUGAUUUUCAUCGUAAUUUUAGCAUCAAGAAGGACAGAGCUUAAAUUCUCAAUAUUCUCAUUUGAAGCAAAUCAUCACAUUUGUGGUUUCAUUCACAUUCUCCGGGCAUACUCUAGUUUCAGGUUUCGACAAAGAGCAACUAACCACUUCCUUUCCUCUGUGCCUCCUCCACCAACACUGAUAAAGUCUGUGAAGCUCCAGUCUUUCUCUCUCUCUGUCUAAUGGCCGCCAUGUUCCACUUAAACCAAGCUGCUCUGCUCGCUGUUCAUCUCGUAGUUAUGUGUCCUGUCCUCACAGCGAUUUUUGAGUUUUUUCCAGGUGACCACAGAGAUAUCCUGGUGUCCAGCGGAGACUCUCUCACGUUCACUUGCAACGUAUCCACAAAGAGAACAUUACAAAUUAACUGGACCAAAGACAAAUUUCUUUUUGCUCACUCUGUGAUAUUCAAUAAGACUUUUUCAAAUUUCACCUCUGACAGAGUGAGAAUAGACGUUGACUUUCCUUCAAAGCUGAACAUUUCGAACGCUCAGCAUGAAGACUCAGGACUAUAUCAAUGUUAUGUGACUGACAAAAAAGGUCCAUACAGUAACAAGUGGAAUUUAACCGUGGCUGGGACACCUCCAGAAGUCCGGUCGUGGUAUUUUCUUUACACAAUUCUACGUGGAGUUGUGUUGCUCCUCUUUGGCCUCACUGCAGCUGUUUGCCUCCACAGAAUACGCAGGGCCGGGACCUCAAACAAGAAACGCGGUGACCACAGGACUCUGACUUGUGCAGAAUACAGACUCAUUACAAGCGGUGGUAAAUAUGAAGCGAUGGACUCAGUUCAAUGGCCUCUACUUGACUGACAGAGCAUCAUACGGUGUUUGUCACACUGUGAAACCACACUCAGCAGGAGGGUCACACUCUAUAAGCAUCUUGCACAUAUGUGGUUUUCCUGCCGUUGAGAAGGUCAGUGACAUACAUUUUAUAUUUUAGUUUGUGAUAUUUAUACCCACGAUUUUCACCGUCAUUUAAGAAGGACAGAGCUUAAAUUCUCAAUAUUCUCAUUUGAAGCAAAUCAUCACAUUUGUGGUUUCAUUCACAUUCUCCGGGCAUACUUUAGUUUCAGGUUUCGACAAAGAGCAACUAACCACUUCCUUUCCUCUGUGCCUCCUCCACCAACACUGAUAAAGUCUGUGAAGCUCCAGUCUGUCUCUCUCUCUGUCUAAUGGCCGCCAUGUUCCACUUGAACCAAGCUGCUCUGCUCGCUGUUCAUCUCGUAGUUAUGUGUCCCGUCCUCGCAGCGAUUUUUGAGUUUUUUCCAGGUGACCACAGAGAUAUCCUGGUGUCCAGCGGAGACUCUCUCACGUUCACUUGCAACGUAUCCACAAACAGAACAUUACAAAUCAACUGGACCAAAGACAAAUUUCUUUUUGUUCACUCUGUGAUAUUCAAUAAGACUUUUUCAAAUUUCACCUCUGACAGAGUGAGAAUAGACGUUGACUUUCCUUCAAAGCUGAACAUUUCGAACGCUCAGCAUGAAGACUCAGGACUAUAUCAAUGUACUGUGACUGACAAAAAAGGUCUACACAGUAACAAGUGGAAUUUAACCGUGGCUGGGACACCUCCAGAAGUCCUGUCAUGGUAUUUUCUUUACACAAUUCUACCUGGAGUUGUGUUGCUCCUCUUUGGCCUCACUGCAGCUGUUUGCCUCCACAGAAUACGCAGGGCCGGGACCUCAAACAAGAGACACUGUGACCACAGGACUCUGACUUUUACCCGGUUUCAUGUUAAGUUGGGAGGAGAGCACCUACAGGGGGCGCUGCCUCCUCAACCCCAAAGUUGUGCAGAGUACAGACAAAUUACAAGCGAUGAUCAUGGUCAAUAUGAACCGAUAGACUCAGUUCAGUGGUCUCUACUUGACUGAGAGGUAUGAAGAUCACAUUACAGCUGAAUAAGAAUACAGAGAGAUCUUUGACGAAUAUCACAAGAUAGAGGACAUUUUGUUUAUGAUGAUGUAUGUGCAAAUAUAUUAAUAUAUGUUGUAAAAAUAUUCUAAAGCAAUGUUUCACAUUAUUCUAUGGUAACCAGACAGCUCAUUUCAUCUUUCUGUGGCUGGGCAUGUGACCACUGCAUGCAUGAUAUACAAUAUUUCAACUCUGCUAUUCUGCCAUUACUGAAAAUAAUCCAUCAAUUAAUUUACCUUCCAUUAUGCUACAAGCUGUCUAUUCUAAUCAAGGAUGUAAAUACCCUUAUCUUUCUGAUGUUCCCAUUACACAUCUACUGCACUUCUGUCCGUCCUGGGAGAGGGAUCCCUCACAUGUGGCUCUCUCUGAGGUUUCUACCUUCUUUUCCCCCUGUAAAGUGUUUUUAAUUUAAAAUUGUUUUACUUAAUCUUGUUGACGGUUAAGGGCAGAGGAUGUCACAACUUUGUAAAGCCCUAUGAGACAAAUUGUGAUUUGUGAAUAUGGGCAGUACAAAUAAAAUUGUAUUGAUUGAUUGAUUGAUGUAAAAUAUACUUGAUGUUGAGAUGUGUUAACACUUCUGUUUGGUUGCAAAAAAAUAAAAAUACGGAAACUCUCACUCAUGUAUUGAUAGAGUGAGACAAAUAUAAUGAUCAAAGAUGGGGAUUGUUUCGACCAAAAAGCCAAAUAUGUCUUUAGAACAUGUGUUAGUAAAUACAUCAAUGAAUAUAAAUUUGCUUCUAAUGAACUACUUAAGCCAGGGGUGUCCAAAGUUUUUUUCCUGAGGGCCAC